ACCUAAAGCUGAUGGGUCUGUGUACACUGGAAGAGGUGGGGCUCAUGGGUAAUGCAGCAUCAGAGGGAGGAAUUGCUUAUGUAACUUGGACAACAGAUUUAGCAGCGCGAAAAGAGGCAGAGGCUGGAAAUGGGAGCAGUAAGCUGUCGGCAGGGACAACACACCCGGGUGUCUGCUCCUCAGAAGGGUGACAACAUCCAGGGUCACUGGGUCCAAGGCUGGAAGAGCCUCUGGUGUGGUAUGGGGACCAUCAGGUCAGGUCUGGAAGAACUAUGGGGACUACAGAGGCAUCAGUGCCUACAUCAGGAGCUGCUCCAGCCAGCCCCACUGCUACUAGAGAAGCCUCAGUCUGAGUGGCCAGUGCCUCAGUUCAUCAGCCUCUUUCUACCAGAGUUUCCCGUGAGGCCUGUUAGGGAGCAGCAGGAGCUGAAGAUUUUAGGCCUUGUGGCUAAAGGUUCGUUUGGAACUGUCCUGAAAGUGCUAGAUUGUGCCCAGAAAGCUGUAUUUGCAGUGAAGGUGGUGCCCAAAGUAAAAGUUCUACAGCGGGAUACGCUGAGGCAGUGCAAAGAAGAGGUUAGCAUCCAGCGACAGAUCAACCAUCCUUUUGUACACAGUUUGGGGGACAGCUGGCAGGGGAAACAACACCUCUUUAUUAUGUGUAGCUACUGCAGCAUGGAUCUCUACUCCCUGUGGUCUACUGUUGGUUGGUUUCCAGAGGAUUCUAUCCGUCUCUUUGCAGCUGAACUGGUCCUUGUACUGUGCUAUCUCCACGACUUGGGUAUCAUCCACCGUGAUGUAAAGGUAGAGUUAAGUCUUUUCUCUUAAGUUGAGCAAGGAUCUCAAGAAGUUUCCACAGAUCUGAGAAGGCAGUAGGAAGCAGAGACGGUUAUUUGGGUUCCUAUGGAUGCGAAGGAUUUGGGUGUGGGUCCUCCAAGUAUAGGCUUGAGUGCUGAGUAGACUACCUUCUCCAGCUAGCAGCUCUACGGGAAAGAAUGCCAGGUGUGGUCAUACAUGUCUAUUCCCCAGCACUGUUGGGAGGCAGGAGGAGUGCCAUAUGUGAGGCUGGUAUAUAAAAUUCCCAGCUGGCCUGAGCUACACAGUAACACCCUAUGUCAAAAAUAACAACAAUGAAAAACCAAAUCAGAGCCAAAGGAAAAAGUAAGAUAAUGUCCUCUUGCCCAUGAUUUCAGAUGGAGAAUAUCCUGCUGGAUGAACGAGGUAUGUCUUUUCCUUCUUUAGCCCCAGGACAAGUGGUACCUCUUAAAAAACAAAACCAAAGUGAAACAAAAAACAAACAAACAAACAUGGGUUGAACAUAGUUUCCUUACUUCGUAGGCCAUCUGAAAGUGACAGACUUUGGUCUGUCUCGCCACCUAUCCCAGGGAGCACGAGCCUACACUAUCUGCGGCACUCUUCAAUACAUGGUUUCCAGUGGCUGCAGAGAGAGAUCAUGUGGCUAUGUUGGCAAGUGUGGCCCACUGUGAAUCUGAGAUCCCAGCGUCUAUUAAUCAGGAGCUCUCACUCCUGCUCCAUGAGCUCUUAUGCCAGAACCCUCUGCAUCGUCUACGAUACCUGCAUCACUUCCAGGUCCACCCGUUCUUUCGGGGUGUAGCCUUUGACCCUGAGCUCCUACAGAAGCAGCCAGUGAACUUUGUCAUGGAGAAACAAGAUACCUGGCCUAGUCCACUGGAGUCCAUGUCCUUCGAGGACUUUGACUAUGAUCUGGAGUCCUUGGUCCACUCCAUCUCUAUUGAUUCCUAUUGAUUCUCUAGUGUGGAUAGGCACUCAGCCAGAAACCACUCAGUACCACCAUUAUAAUGAUCCAGUUUUUACUUUGUUGUUCUAUUGUAGGUACUGGGCUAGAGUUUAAUCUUUGGCAUUCUGCAGCUGAUAGCCAAAACUGCCCCUACGCUUUCCUAUCAUACAACCCCUCUCAGUUCGGGUCAAGGCAAUGGCCUUCACUUCUCCAGUACUUUCACUUGAGCUGCCAAACAAAGGCUUCUUGAACUUGACCUUAUUCAUGUUUUUCUACCAUACUUUUUUGGGCAAUAAUGAAACUCUGGGGACUUCCAAGGUGCUAUUUAGAUGUUUUAACAAGUUAAUCAGAUGCCAGGUGGUGCCAGGUGGCACUUGUCCCUGCAUUGAGGACACAGAGGCAGGUAGAUCUCUGAGUUUGAGGCCAGCCUGGUCUACAGAGUUCCAGGAUACUCAGGAAUACACAAAGAAACCCUGUCUCAGGAAAAAAAAAUUACAAGGAUUAUUAAAUUGAUUGUUUCUUCCAUACAACCCAAGAUUUAGAGUUGGUUUUGUUUUUUUUCCGCUUUUGAACUGGACCAGCAGAGGAUCAGGGGAUCAGAAAAUGAAGAAGGAAAGUAUAGGAUCAGGUCUUGCCCAAGCUAUAUCUUAUGCCACACCAAGCAGGCUUAUUUUAUUAAGUACAGCAUCGCAUAUACAGGAAAAAGGGGAAAAAGGGAUAGAAUCAUCAAAAAACUGACUUAGAGUGGACUGAAGUCAGCAGGAAGCUAAUCAGGCAAUGUUGAAUGAAGGGAAACAAAUGCAUCACAGAGGAGCACAUCGCAGCCUUGGGGCUAAUAGCCUUGUAGGGGGAAAGAGUUCAUUUCUCAUAUAUAAAGCAGCAGCUCCCCCAGGGUCCUGACCCCAGACCGUUAUUGGCUUUGCUAAGCAUAGUCCUUAGUUUAGACAAGGAACUUCAUUCCUCCACACAUCAGGCCUCAGGGAAAACCUUAGGUUAGAUCAGCCUGGCUCCCCAUCCCAACACCUUUAGUUUUAAGAUCCAGGGAUGUUGUGUUGUUACUGUUUAAUUUUGUGAUCCUAGGGACCACACCGAGGGCCUUUAUAUACUAGGUAUCUACUUAGUCACAUUCCCAGUGAACGUUCAUCCAGGUUCCUUCUCCCCGAGACAUCUCUUUAAAUGCCAAAGCUGGAAUAUUAAACUUACCCAGGCAGACCUUGCUUGUGAUCUUCCUGCUUUGAUCUUCCAAAUGGCUGAGAUUAUAGGCCUGUACCACAAGGCCUAUGCUAAGAUUGGGUUUUGAUGAACAAAUGAAAGGAUUGAGGGCCAUGGCAUUAAAUUUAGCAUUUAGAGUUAUAGAUGUAUCUCGAGAAUAUUCUCCUCUUGUAAGGAAAAUCAUCCAGGCCUUUUAUGUAACUUCUGGUCUUUUUUCAUUUUCCUCAAUUCUCAAAAGUUCCAUUUUUGUUGUGAUCUUUUUUAGGGUUUUUAAAAUGUUUAUGUGUAUGAGUAAUUUUACCUGCAAGUAUGUACUCUCCAGCCCCUUUGUUCUGACAUUUAAGGAAAAGUGUGCUUUAAUCUAGAUUAUUAUUUUCCA